GACGAACGCUGGCGGCGUGCCUAACACAUGCAAGUCGAACGGGGUUAUUUCCUUCGGGAGAUAACUUAGUGGCGAACGGGUGAGUAACGCGUGAGGAACCUGCCUGUCAGUGGGGGACAACAGUUGGAAACGACUGCUAAUACCGCAUAAUGUAUCGAAGGGGCAUCCCUAUGAUACCAAAGCUUUAUGUGCUGAAAUAUGGCCUCGCGUCUGAGUAGAUAGUUGGUGGGGUAACGGCUCACCAAGUCAACGAUCAGUAGCCGGUCUGAGAGGAUGAACAGCCACAUUGGGACUGAGAUACGGCCCAGACUCCUACGGGAGGCAGCAGUGGGGAAUAUUGGGCAAUGGGGGAAACCCUGACCCAGCAACGCCGCGUGAAGGAAGAAGGCCUUCGGGUUGUAAACUUCUUUUAGCAGGGACGAAGGACGUGACGGUACCUGCAGAAAAAGCAACGGCUAACUACGUGCCAGCAGCCGCAGUAAAAC
rnacentral:rRNA from 1 species